rnacentral:rRNA from 1 species
CUUAGUGGCGCACGGGUGAGUAACACGUGGGAACCUGCCUUUCGGUUCGGAAUAACGUCUGGAAACGGACGCUAACACCGGAUACCCUACGGGGGAAAGUUUACGCCGAGAGAGGGGCCCGCGUCGGAUUAGGUAGUUUGGUCUGGUAACGGCGCACCACCUACCAGGCGACGAUCCACUGGUCUGAGAGGAUGAUCAGCACACUGGACUGAGACACGGCCCAGACUCCUACGGGAGGCGCAGCAGUGGGGAAUAUUGGACAUGGGCGCMGCCUGAUCCAGCCAUGCCGCGUGAGUGAUGAAGGCCCUAGGGUUGUAAAGCUCUUUCACCGGAGAGAUAAUGACGGUAUCCGGAGAAGAGCAGUGGGAAUAUUGGACAAUGGGCGCAAGCCUGAUCCAGCAAUGCCGCUGAGUGAUGAAGGCCUUAGCGGGAGCGUGAGAAGAAGCCCCGGCUAACGGUUGUAAAGCCUCUUUCGCAC